GUGAAAAAUAUAUAGAAAAAAAUAAAUGUAAUUUAAUACAAAAACUUAAAGAUAAACUUUAUGGUGAAUAUUAAGUUAAAUGAAAAUUUUGUGGUUGUUUUGAUAUUCUUAAGGUGAUAUAAUAUAUUUUAAAUAAAUUAAAAAUAAUUACUUAUACAUAUAUAUAAUAUAUGAAUAAAAAUGAAUGUAUAUAAGUAGAUAAAAUUGAAAUUGAAAAAUGAAAUUAUUAAAGUUUAGUGAUUUUUCUUGAAAAAAAAAAAAAUUCGAAAAUCAAAGAAUAAAAAGUACCAAUAUAAGUAUAUAAAGUAAGAUAAUUAAAAUUUUUUAUUACAAUUUAAAAGAAGGUAAUAAUAAAAACAUAUACAAAUAUACUAAUUUAAAAUACGAUCUAAAAUAAAAAAGGAUUUUGAGAAUUUUGAAGUUAUUUUGUGAAAAGAAAAAUAUUCAAAAAGAAAUUUUGUGUUAAAUUUUUCAUCAAUUUAAGAAUUUAAGGUUAUUUCGCAUAAGGUGGCAAAUCAUUUUGGGGAUGAUUCUUUGAUCAACUUCCAGCAAAAAAUUGUAUGGGCACGAGGGGCGUCGGAGAUGUACUCGUUUUCGAGCUACAGCCUGUUAAAUAUAU